rnacentral:rRNA from 1 species
ACACGACUACAUUAGAUACCCGGGUAGUCCUAGCCGUAAACGAUACUCGCUAGGUGUCGGCCACGGUGCGACCGUUGUCGGUGCCGUAGGGAAGCCGUGAAGCGAGCCACCUGGGAUGUACGGCCGCAAGGCUGAAACUUAAAGGAAUUGGCGGGGGAGCACAACAACGGGUGGAGCUUGCGGUUUAAUUGGAUUCAACGCCGGAAAUCUUACCGGGACCGACAGCAACAUGAAGGCCAAGCUGAAGACUUUGCCGGAUUAGCUG